UGGGGAAUAUUGCACAAUGGGCGCAAGCCUGAUGCAGCAACGCCGCGUGAGGGAUGACGGCCUUCGGGUUGUAAACCUCUUUUAGCAGGGAAGAAGCGAAAGUGACGGUACCUGCAGAAAAAAGCACCGGCUAACUACGUGCCAGCAGCCGCGGUAAUACGUAGGGUGCAAGCGUUGUCCGGAAUUAUUGGGCGUAAAGAGCUCGUAGGCGGUCUGUCGCGUCUGCUGUGAAAUCCCGAGGCUCAACCUCGGGCCUGCAGUGGGUACGGGCAGACUAGAGUGCGGUAGGGGAGAAUGGAACUCCUGGUGUAGCGGUGGAAUGCGCAGAUAUCAGGAAGAACACCGAUGGCGAAGGCAGUUCUCUGGGCCGUAACUGACGCUGAGGAGCGAAAGCGUGGGGAGCGAACAGGAUUAGAUACCCUGGUAGUCCACGCCGUAAAACGUUGGGCGCUAGAUGUGGGGACCAUUCCACGGUUUCCGUGUCGCAGCUAACGCAUUAAGCGCCCCGCCUGGGGAGUACGGCCGCAAGGCUAAAACUCAAAUGAAUUGACGGAGUCAUAGCUGUUUCCUG
rnacentral:rRNA from 1 species